rnacentral:rRNA from 1 species
UACGGGGGGGGCAAGCGUUGUUCGGAAUUACUGGGCGUAAAGGGCUCGUAGGCGGCCAACUAAGUCAGACGUGAAAUCCCUCGGCUUAACCGGGGAACUGCGUCUGAUACUGGAUGGCUCGAGUUUGGGAGAGGGAUGCGGAAUUCCAGGUGUAGCGGUGAAAUGCGUAGAUAUCUGGAGGAACACCGGUGGCGAAGGCGGCAUCCUGGACCAACACUGACGCUGAGGCGCGAAAGCUAGGGGAGCAAACAGG